rnacentral:rRNA from 1 species
GAACGCUGGCGGCGUGCCUAAUACAUGCAAGUCGAGCGGACAGAAGGGAGCUUGCUCCCGGAUGUUAGCGGCGGACGGGUGAGUAACACGUGGGUAACCUGCCUGUAAGACUGGGAUAACUCCGGGAAACCGGAGCUAAUACCGGAUAGUUCCUUGAACCGCAUGGUUCAAGGAUGAAAGACGGUUUCGGCUGUCACUUACAGAUGGACCCGCGGCGCAUUAGCUAGUUGGUGAGGUAACGGCUCACCAAGGCGACGAUGCGUAGCCGACCUGAGAGGGUGAUCGGCCACACUGGGACUGAGACACGGCCCAGACUCCUACGGGAGGCAGCAGUAGGGAAUCUUCCGCAAUGGACGAAAGUCUGACGGAGCAACGCCGCGUGAGUGAUGAAGGUUUUCGGAUCGUAAAGCUCUGUUGUUACGGAAGAACAAGUGCAAGAGUAACUGCUUGCCCUUUGACGGUACCUAACCAGAAAGCCACGGCUAACUACGUGCCAGCAGCCGCGGUAAUACC